UGGGCCAUUAGUGAUUUGUAAUAAGG
rnacentral:piRNA from 1 species